GAACAAUCAAUUGUGGAGGGGUGCUCAGCCACUCUAUCCUGUCUGAAAUAGUAGAGGCAGCUCUAGCUAUAAGAUGUGCCACACUAUUGGCAGAUCGAGGAACAAAACUCACAGAUACUGAAUUCAUCUCUGCUAUUAGAGAUUUACAAUUAUCAACAAGGGACCCAAAACUAGAAAAAUCAGAAGUUGAAGAAGAAAGCAAAGCCUUCACUACCGUAAGAGCAUCUGAUUCCAACACUAUCUGAUCAUAACCCAGCCUCUUAAUCCAACUCAGAACUUCUCUAAU
rnacentral:lncRNA from 1 species